AUAUCUAAUGCAUUUUCAUUUAUUUUUUAUUGCAAGGUUUUAACAAUAAUGGCAAUUUGCUACUGUGGAUAUUUAUGUUAAAGACCUCAAGAUUAUAUUUAUUAAUUCAGUUAAACAACAUGAUGAAAACUACAUGGUUGCUUCAGUGGAUGUUGAUCUUUUUCAUAUCAAGAUUAAACCGAUAUCAUUGGAUGUGGUUUCCUUUGCGUACUAAAGAAUCGACUCUUUCUAUCUAUGGAUGUCACAGUUUUGUUUGCUUCAAAAUCUAGGCUUUUUUCAAAGCCACAAUUCUGUUAAAAACAUU
rnacentral:lncRNA from 1 species